AUUGAACGCUGGCGGAAUGCUUUACACAUGCAAGUCGAACGGUAGAGGGGGCAACCCCUUGAGAGUGGCGAACGGGUGAGUAAUAUAUCGGAACGUGCCCAGUCGUGGGGAUAACGUAGCGAAAGUUACGCUAAUACCGCAUACGAUCUAAGGAUGAAAGCGGGGGAUCGCAAGACCUCGCGCGAUUGGAGCGGCCGAUAUCAGAUUAGGUAGUUGGUGGGGUAAGGGCUCACCAAGCCAACGAUCUGUAGCUGGUCUGAGAGGACGACCAGCCACACUGGAACUGAGACACGGUCCAGACUCCUACGGGAGGCAGCAGUGGGGAAUUUGGACAAUGGACGCAAGUCUGAUCCAGCCAUGCCGCGUGCAGGAUGACGGUCCUAUGGAUUGUAAACUGCUUUAUACAGGAAGAAACACUAACUUCGUGAAGUAGCUUGACGGUACUGUAAGAAUAAGGAUACGGCUAAACUCCGUGCCAGCAGCCGCGGUAAAG
rnacentral:rRNA from 1 species